rnacentral:rRNA from 1 species
GAUGAACGCUGGCGGCGUGCCUAAUACAUGCAAGUCGAGCGAACAGACGAGGAGCUUGCUCCUCUGACGUUAGCGGCGGACGGGUGAGUAACACGUGGAUAACCUACCUAUAAGUCUGGUAUAACUUCGGGAAACCGGAGCUAAUACCGUAUAACAUGUUGCACCGCAUGGUUGAACGGUGAAAGUCGGUUUUGCUGUCUCUUAUAGAUGGAUCCGCGUCUCAUUAGCUAGUUGGUAAGUUAACGGCUUAUCAAGGCAACUAUGCGUAGCCGACCUGAGAGGGGGAUCGGCCACACUGGAAGUGAGACGGGGACCAGAGUCCUGCGGGACGCAGCAGUAGGGAAUCUGCCGCAGAAGGCGAAAGCAUGACGGAGCAGCGCCACGUGAGUGAAGAAGGUCUUCGGAUCGUAAAACUCUGUUAUUAGGGAAAAACAAAUGUGUAAGUAGAUAAGCACGUAGUGACGGUACCUGAUAAGAAAGCAACGGCUAACUACGUG